rnacentral:rRNA from 1 species
AGUGAACGCUGGCGGUAGGCCUAACACAUGCGAGUCGAACGGCAGCACAGUAAGAGCUUGCUCUUACGGGUGGCGAGUGGCGGACGGGUGAGGAAUACAUCGGAAUCUACUUUUUCGUGGGGGAUAACGUAGGGAAACUUACGCUAAUACCGCAUACGACCUACGGGUGAAAGCAGGGGAUCUUCGGACCUUGCGCGAUUGAAUGAGCCGAUGUCGGAUUAGCUAGUUGGCGGGGUAAAGGCCCACCAAGGCGACGAUCCGUAGCUGGUCUGAGAGGAUGAUCAGCCACACUGGAACUGAGACACGGUCCAGACUCCUACGGGAGGCAGCAGUGGGGAAUAUUGGACACUGGGCGCAAGCCUGAUCCAGCCAUACCGCGUGGGUGAAGAAGGCCUUCGGGUUGUAAAGCCCUUUUGUUGGGAAAGAAAAGCAGCAGGUUAAUACCCCGCUGUUCUGGCGGUACCCAAAGAAUAAGCACCGGCUAACUUCGUG